rnacentral:rRNA from 1 species
AACGAACGCUGGCGGCAGGCCUAACACAUGCAAGUCGAGCGGACCUCUCGGGGUCAGCGGCGGACGGGUGAGUAACGCGUGGGAAUAUGCCCUUCUCUACGGAAUAGUCCGGGGAAACUGGGGGUAAUACCGGAUACGCCCUUUGGGGGAAAGUUUUAUCGGGGAAGGAUUAGCCCGCGUUGGAUCAGGGAGUGAGUGGGGUAAUGGCCUACCAAGCCGACGAUCCAUAGCUGGCUUCAGAGGAUGGGCUGCCAAACUGGGACUGAGAGACUGCCCUGACUCCUGCUCAAGGCGGCGGUGGGUAAUCCUAUACUGUCGGGGCAACGCUGACCGACCCCUGACGCGAGAGGGAUGAAGGUCUUAGGGUUGUAAAGCGUGUUCAGCUGGGAAGAUAUUGACGUUACCAUCAGAAUAAGCACCGGCUAACUCCGUG